rnacentral:rRNA from 1 species
CACGUAGGGGGCGAGCGUUGUCCGGAAUCAUUGGGCGUAAAGAGCUCGUAGGCGGCUCAGUAAGUCGGGUGUGAAACCUCCAGGCUCAACCUGGAGACGCCACUCGAUACUGGCGUGACUAGAGUGCGGUAGGGGAGACUGGAAUUCCUGGUGUAGCGGUGAAAUGCGCAGAUAUCAGGAGGAACACCGGUGGCGAAGGCGGGUCUCUGGGCCGUAACUGACGCUGAGGAGCGAAAGCAUGGGGAGCGAACAGG